UUAGUGACGGAAAAAAGCAGAGAUGGACAGCUAAAGACAAGGUGUUAGUGUUUAUGACUGUUGUAUUUGGUAUUCUAGCGGCUGCGUUGGUUAUAGUUGUAGCUGUUAAAUUUGAAGUUAAUAAUGAUAAAACUACAGAUACACCCGGUGUCGUACCCGCAACAGCCGGGUCUAUAGCUGGUAAUGGUAAUACCAAGGUCACGUCCGUUUCCCAAGCUACAGUAACAGCUCCCCAAGCUACAGUAAAAGAACCAACAGUUUGUACGAAACCAAUAUGUGUCAAAACAGCUGCCAGUCUACUUGAUGCUAUGGACUUUUCGAUGGAUCCUUGUGAAGACUUUUUUACGUAUUCCUGUGGUAAUUGGAACAAAAAUCACAUCAUACCAGACGAUAA